AAUUUCUCAAGCUCUGGAUGGCCUUUGUCUGUCCUAAGCCUUGGUUGUUGGGCUUUGCCGUGUCCUUCAUUGGGACGGCUGGCCUUAAAAGCAUCAGCUGAUCUUUGUGGCACUGGUUCUACUCAGCGUGAUAACAGUCUGAUCGCUGAGGACAUCUUUUGGGAUGGCCAGUUUUCAUUUGGGUUGCUUCUAAACUUGGUUUCGCAGAUUCUUCAAUCUGUGUUCCACUUUUCAG
rnacentral:misc_RNA from 1 species